UUAUGUUAUUCCUCUUCUUGACAGGUACGUAAAUGAUGCGUGACGCUCUUGUGCCGAGGGUGUUGAUGCCGUGCGUGGUCCAGGUUCGUCUGUGGUGAGUGUUUGCCAGUCGUGUUAAGGAAGAAGUUUUUGCUGCAUUGUCAGAGGAAGGAGAUGAGGGCGCUGAAGACUUAGAGAAUAGCAUUAAUAGGAAGACUCUUCUUUAUAUGGAACAACCUCGGUGGUCAGGGCUGGCGGGAAUGUGACCCUGGAGUGCCCCGCCGCCAAAGACACCUACGUGUUGCUCCUCGAGUGGAAGUGUCAGAAAUGUCAGCUACCGGGAGAGGCGAUAGUCCCGCAGGAGGUGAACUUGGUAGAGUACAGGACAGAAUCAGUCACCCUCUUCCACCACGAGGGUCGCAUGUCCCUAUCCCCGGACACCUUCAGCCUCUCCUUCAAACCGGUGCUCGCCUCGGACUCCGGCGUGUAUUUGUGCCGCGUCAACAACAGGGAUGAGUCGCAGCGCCCCGUCCGUCUCGUUGUGCAAGGUACGUAGGUGAGAAAGUUAAUCUCUACACUGGGUUGGCGAGGCAGUGGUGAGUGAAGGGCCAGCAAUACUUUAGCACACACACACACACACACUACGCAACUGACUUCUCUUCUCGGCACUUCCCAAACCACACCACACGACAGCGACGACGACUCUCCAGCGGCGCGGAAUUGGGCGUGAAGUGGAUUGGCUGGGCGUGGUGGUGGCGGAUGCUGUGGGAGGAGAAGGGAAGGGAAGGGAAGGGAAGGGGCGUUACUGAGGUGAGGUUCGCUCCAUGCAUGGUGAUGAGGUGCCGCCGAGAGGGAGAUGAACUCAUAAAACCGCAGUAUUCCAUAAAUUUAUCGACGGGGAUUGUGGAAUUUGGAACCAUGAAGGAAGACACGGAGGGUUCGGGGAUGAAAGAAGAAAGAGCGCAGUGAGAGAGGGUGAAGGAGUAGAAGGAAGAAGAGAAAGAGGCAGAGGAAGGGAGGGUAAAAAGAGAAAAAAAGAAAGAAAAAGAACGUGUUGGAGGAUUUAUGUAGGUCGAGAGGGAAGACUGACGCGAAAGAAGGAUGAAGAGAAGGGGAGAUAAAAAGGAAUAGAGAGGGAAUGGAUGAAGGUACAGGAGGUGAGGUGGGAGUUAAGAUAUUUCACGUCUGCAAGAAGGUGUGGGGGAAAUAUACGCACUGAUCGAUCGUCAAAAGAUGGGAGGCAAGAAUGGGAAAGACGAGAUUGUGAUCAGAGAGAGAGAGAGAGAGAGAGAGAGAGAGAGAGAGAGAGAGAGAGAGAGAGAGAGAGAGAGAGAGAGAGAGAGUAUCGAUGCGGUGAGGGUGAAGCUACGUGGUAAAUGGUUGCUGAAAGGGGGAAGAAGAGAAAGACAAGACAAACAGUACGGUAGUGGUGAACAGAAUAGUGAAUCUGACCUCACGUUGAAAAUAAAGAAACGUGAAAGUAUUGUAUUUGGUGAAAGGGACUAGGGUGGUGAUGCUGGUGGUAGCAGAUUUCUGUGGCGGGACUUGGUGACUAAAUUAAGUGUGGUAAGAGAUGGAGGGGAGUCUUGUAGCUUGGUGAUGGAGUGGUGGUGAUGGUGCUGCUGGUGGUGGGAGGCGGGAAGAGGUCAGACAGUGAUGGCUCUGGAACCCCUUGAGUUAUAACCGAUAGGAGGAUCAGAGAGUCUUAAAAGGACUUCGGAAGUUUACGGGUGUUUGAUUCAUCGCCAUUAGUAUGCGGGAGGAGGCGAGAGAGAGAGAGAGAGAGAGAGAGAGAGAGAGAGAGAGAGAGAGAGCGUUCCCGCCGCCCUCCUCCCACUAUCACAAGGGGGCGGCUGGAGUGGCUGCUGGGGACGGGAGGAGACGGGUCAGGCGAGGGGAAAAGGCUUCUUAAUCCCUAUUGGUAAAGUGCUUCAUGGAGUUGGUUUUACGUGGGGAGAAAUGGCGAUUCCCGUCAAGGUCGCUGCUAACACGCUGCCUUAACGUGAUCGAGUGAUGGGCGGAGCGCGAGGUGAGGACAGAGAGUGUGUAUGGCGAGGCAGGGUGGUGCAGGUUAAGGUGCGAUAGGUCAGGGCAGGAAGGGAAGGAAAGGAUGGAAAAUUAAGGGAAAGGGCAAAGCAACAUAUAGGAAGACAAGAUGAAUAAGAGCAAGACAGAGUAGGGCAGACAAAGCAUCGUUGCAGGCGGGGUCAGUGUUUCUACUUCAUAGAAAUUUUUAGACAAGGAAAUCGCAGAAACAGAAAUGAAGUACGAGGAUGUGCAAUAAAGCAAAAAACCAUGCAUACAAACAAACACAACCCGCACAGUGAAAAGAACAAAAAUAAAGCUAAAGUUGCAAAGGGAAAAUGGAAAUACCAGAGAAGAAAGCGACUGAGGUCGGAGGGAAUAUAUAUGUGUGGCUGGCGGGCCCCGUCAGGGAGGCGCCCGUAAAGUAGGGGGCCUCGUCCCCUCCUGCGCCCCACACACAAGACUUUAGGAGCUCUCGUGAUGCUGACGCCGCGACUCUCCAUGUAUCUCUGCAACCAGUGGCCUGUAGCCUUCCCUGUCCCACGCAUUUGGGAUGGAGACUGAGAGGGAAGGGGUGAGGAUGCACGGCCUUGGUAAGGACGAGAGAGAGAGAGCUCAGUCUGUUACGAGGCGGGAGGGAAACGCAGGCCGAACUAAUGCUACAUGAAGGGAUCUGCUUGUG